AUGUACUCUUUAUGAGGCUUUGUGCAGCCCUUGUGGCAGCUAGCCGAAGGUUUCGCAAGAAGCCGAUGUCAAUUUGAAUCCUUUUUAAAAUACGACUGAUCAAAACUGCAGAUAGAAAUAUCUGCAUGCAAUUGAAAUACAACUUUCAACAGUGGAUGUCUAGGCUCGCACACCGAUGAAGAACGCUGCGAACUGCGAUACGUAAUGCGAAUUGCAGAAUUCAGUGAGUCAUCAAAAUUUUGAACGCAUAUUGCACUUCCGGGUUAGUCCUGGGAGUAUGUUUGUAUCAGUGUCCGUGAACACAAACUUGUUUCAUUUCUUGAUUGGGAUGAAGCAGACUGUGAAGGUCUUGUAAUUGCAAGUCCUUUUAAACGACGGUACCUAUGCGUCCUCGUGAGAUGUAUUAUUUAAAGGUAUGCCUGCGCUCCUUUCGAAAGUCUUGUGUGGCGGCACACAGCACUCAAAGAGAGAGCAAAUCGCGGUAGUUUUGCUUGUACUUCGGUACGAGUGGACACAUAUUGCUUUUUGUGAUUUCUGCGAGUCUGUUGUCAAAGUACAAGGCACGUAAGGAGAGUUGGUAUGCUGGUGCAUUUCUUGGCGUAUGGAGGCAAAUUGGGAAUUCAAUCACA
rnacentral:misc_RNA from 1 species